AACUUAAAAUCCUCAAUAUAGAUGGAUUAUUAAUCUGGUAUAAAGAACAAAGGCAACUAAGAGAACAUAUUACAACUUGUGAAUAAGAAGUGAUAUAUAACACAUGCUCUGGCUUCGUCACAUUUCAGGUAUUACAGCAUAAACUGAAAGCUACGUAGAUGAUGUAGCAUUCUGUCAGAAGCAGCACUUGUUGGUUCCAAAGAUUCAAAGGAACUGAUUCCUCCUUCACAUACGAUGUAGAUAGACCAGGCUGGAUUUCUUAGGCAAAACUUACCAAAGGUGGCUAAAACAUAGAUAGAGUAAAGAAAUACAGAAAUUGGAAUUAAGCUCUUACUUCUAUGUAACACUAAUUUUGAAAAGGAAAAAAGAAAAAAAAAGUAUAUUAGGAACUAAGCCUUAUCCCAUGAGUAAUAAAUUCAGAAUUGAAAGAGGUAAUAUAUCUCUUUCUCAACCGAACCUAUUCUCACUGUCAUGAAGCUCUUUAUUUUUUUAUCUUUUACUCCUUUCGUCCCCCAAAUAACUAUCUAACUUUCCUUUUCGAUCCGUCCCCAAAAUAAUUUCCCUUUCUAUUUUUAGAUUAUACCACAUCAUUAAUAUUACCCCAUUUACCCUUACUUUUCAUUUUUCACAUUUUCAUCUUAAAACUCGUGCCCUCCCUUCAAGGAAAUUAUUUUGGGGACGGGAGGAGUAUUUAUUAUGCAUAUACAUAUAUAUUUUUUAAAGUUCAAAAAGCUCUCUCUAAUGACAAAAAAAGGACUCAAUAUUUAAUUAUCUUACAUGGUAAAUAAAGUUUCAUAAUCAAGCCUAGGACCUAGAAUAAUCUUCUAUCCUUCAUAAGAGUAUAAAACAAAUACCCAACACUAAUAUAAACAUGGUUCCAAAGCAAUAACAGAAGUUACUGCUUUUGUUUUCCAUGCUUAUCAAUAUCCUAAAUCUUCUCCGCGAAAGUCUAAUGUAAUUUUCUUCGAGACCAAACACUAAACCAGCAUCCAUGAUAACUGUAUUCUUUUAACUACUAUAUCUAAACUUUACCCACCAUUGCAACUUUUGCCUAACAAAUCCAUCCAGAUCUAACAUUUUAUCGUCUGUGAGAAGGGUGAGUGCUUGAACCUUUAAACCAGCAGAAAUGCUUGGUGCAGCAAAGAGAUUUUUGAAUUUUUUAGUUCUAUAACAAGGAACUAGGAAAAGGGGGCUAGCUAUAAAUGGUUUAAAACUGAUGCAAAUAUGUUAUGCCGUGAUUCAGGAUACGAUAAAAAACUUGUAAGGCAGUUGCACAUACCAAAGCGGCCAGCUUACCAAACUGAUGCCGAAGAAUCUUAGUACACGUAGGAUGAGUUCGUUAUGAUGGCUAGAACAAAGAUUCACUCUGUAAGACUGUAACGACAAGAUUCUGUAAGCUAGGAACUGCAAGAAAUCAGGGAAACCUGCGCAUUUACUAAACCUCAUUAAAACUCAUAAGCAGGAAAGAUUAUAACAAUCCCAACAAAAGAUGAUUAGUUUUUGCACAGUUUAAAUGAAGCUUAAUGUCAGCCACAAAUGUCACACAAGAUUCAAAUAACUGACACAAAUUAGAUCCCUUAAACAAAUAAAACAUUUUUUUCCCUGUUUAGUGGCUUUUGGUGUCUGCAUUUAUCUGAUUAUUUGUCACUAAUACAAAUGGAUUUAGGUCAAACAAAAUCAUACUACUAAACAGAAUCUCCCUCUUGAGCCAUAAUACUGCAGCAACAGCAAUAAAAACUGAUUCUUUAAAGUUUACAGCAUACAAGGAUCUAAUCAAACAAAGAAGAACUCAAUAACAAAUGCAGAUUCUCGCAAAAAGAAGAUAAUAAAAAUAAAAAUAAAAAAUAAAAAACAAGUUCCAAAUUCGUAAACUUGUCACAAAUCCAAAAACAAUAAUCAGAAAUGCAAGAAAUAUAUCUUCAUCUACCAGAAAAUCAUAAAAAGUAAAAAAUCAAAGCCUUGAGCUACUUGUUAAAACCUUAUGACUAAACCAUCUGAAUUCGACUGAAAAAAAAAAAAUUGAUUCUUGCAAUUGAAACACACAGAGAGAGAGAGAGAGAGAUGAGCAAUUAGGGUUACACUGAUACAGUUUAAAUAGGGAAGAAAAAUAUGUGAAAUUAAUUGCAGUAAUUCAAGUGAAGAAUCUACAGCUAAUGAAUUGAAGGCCACUGGAAUCAGGUUUUCACCAUCUGCCAACGAUUUAUUACCUUUUUUAGGCACCUCUCAAAAUUCAGUUUUAACAGAUAUUGAAACUUCUGUGAUUUGUUGUCUCAUAUUCAGAUUUACAAUUUAAUUACAAAUUGCGACUCUUAUUUUGACAAUCUUUCUGAAAUUUCCACUUAAAUUAUAAAAAAUCUUAAGACAAA
rnacentral:lncRNA from 1 species